UACGUAGGUGGCGAGCGUUGUCCGGAUUUACUGGGCGUAAAGGGAGCGUAGGCGGACUUUUAAGUGAGAUGUGAAAUACCCGGGCUCAACUUGGGUGCUGCAUUUCAAACUGGAAGUCUAGAGUGCAGGAGAGGAGAAUGGAAUUCCUAGUGUAGCGGUGAAAUGCGUAGAUAUUAGGAGGAACACCAGUGGCGAAGGCGGCUUUCUGGACUGUAACUGACACUGAGGCACGAAAGCGUGGGGAGCAAACAGGAUUAGAUACCCGGGUAGU
rnacentral:rRNA from 1 species